rnacentral:rRNA from 1 species
CUGUCUCCUUUUUCAAUCAGUGAAAUUAAUCUCCCCGUGAAGAAGCGGGGAUACUCAUAUAAGACGAGAAGACCCCAUGGAGCUUCAAACCCAACUACACCCCUAGCUCUUAUAGCCCCACAACCCCCCUAGGCGCCGUGUGCUUGGUUUUAGGUUGGGGCGACCGCGGAGUACAAUAAAACCUCCACAAUGAAUGGGAACACCCCCUUAUCUGAGGGCCACACCCCCUAAGAAUUAGAACACUAACAUAAAAUGAUCCAUUACUUGAUCAAUGAACCAAGUUACCCUGGGGAUAACAGCGCAAUCCAUUUCAAGAGCCCCUAUCGACAAAUGGG